rnacentral:rRNA from 1 species
GCAUAUCAAUAAGCGGAGGAAAAGAAACCAACCGGGAUUGCCUCAGUAACGGCGAGUGAAGCGGCAAGAGCUCAAAUUUGAAAUCUGGCCCCUUUGGGGUCCGAGUUGUAAUUUGCAGAGGAUGCUUCGGGUGCGGUCCCCAUCUAAGUGCCCUGGAACGGGCCGUCAUAGAGGGUGAGAAUCCCGUCUGGGAUGGGCGGCCGCGCCCGUGUGAAGCUCCUUCGACGAGUCGAGUUGUUUGGGAAUGCAGCUCUAAGCGGGUGGUAAAUUUCAUCUAAAGCUAAAUACUGGCCGGAGACCGAUAGCGCACAAGUAGAGUGAUCGAAAGAUGAAAAGCACUUUGAAAAGAGAGUUAAACAGCACGUGAAAUUGUUGAAAGGGAAGCGUUGUCCACCAGACUCGCCCGGGGGGGUUCAGCCGGCACGUGUGCCGGUGUACUCCUCUCCGGGCGGGCCAGCAUCGGUUUGGGCGGCUGGUGAAAGGCCCCGGGAAUGUAACACCCUUCGGGGUGCCUUAUAGCCCGGGGUGCCAUACAGCCAGCCUGGACCGAGGCCCGCGCUUCGGCGAGGAUGCUGGCGUAAUGGUGGUCAACGGCCCGUCUUGAAACACGGACCAAGGAGUCUAACAUCUAUGCGAGUGUUCGGGUGUCAAACCCGUCCGCGCAGUGAAAGCGAACGGAGGUGGGAGCCCUCUCGGGGCGCACCAUCGACCGAUCCUGAUGUCUUCGGAUGGAUUUGAGUAAGAGCAUAGCUGUUGGGACCCGAAAGAUGGUGAACUAUGCCUGAAUAGGGCGAAGCCAGAGGAAACUCUGGUGGAGGCUCGCAGCGGUUCUGACGUGCAAAUCGAUCGUCAAAUUUGGGUAUAGGGGCGAAAGACUAAUCGAACCAUCUGGUAGCUGGUUCCUGCCGA